GCAAACUUGGUCAUUUAGAGGAAGUAAAAGUCGUAACAAGGUUUCCGUAGGUGAACCUGCGGAAGGAUCAUUACAGAAAUAGGAGAAGGUUGCUUAACUGCAAUCCUUUUCUUUCUACACAUGUGUUUUUCUUUUUUUUGAAAACUUUGCUUUGGUGGGCCCACGGCCUGCCAGAGAUUAAACUCAACCAAAUUUUUAUUUAAUUGUCAACUUGAUUAACUAAUAGUCAAAACUUUCAACAACGGAUCUCUUGGUUCUCGCAUCGAUGAAGAACGCAGC
rnacentral:misc_RNA from 1 species